rnacentral:rRNA from 1 species
CGGCCGCGUCGACCCACGAGUUCCGUGCCGCAGCUAACGCAUUAAGCGCCCCGCCUGGGGAGUACGGCCGCAAGGCUAAAACUCAAAGGAAUUGACGGGGGCCCGCACAAGCGGCGGAGCAUGCGGAUUAAUUCGAUGCAACGCGAAGAACCUUACCAAGGCUUGACAUCCUGCGCUACACCUAGAGAUAGGUGGUUCCCUUCGGGGACGC